rnacentral:rRNA from 1 species
CGUAUAUUAAAGUUGUUGCGGUUAAAAAGCUCGUAGUUGGAUUUCUUCCAGGGGCAGUCGGUCCACACUACGUGUGCGUAUCUGAUUUGACUUUGGAAUCCUCUUGGGGAACAUCUCUGCGCUUAACUGCGUGGAAUGGUAUUCAAGACUUUUACUUUGAGGAAAUUAGAGUGUUCACGGCAGGCAAUCGCCCUGAAUACAUUAGCGUGGAAUAAUAAUAUAGGAUUUCGGUUCUAUUUUGUUGGUUUCUAGAGCUGAAAUAAUGAUUAAUAGGGACACUUGGGGGCAUUCGUAUUAUCACGUCAGAGGUGGAAUUCUUGGAUUGUGUUACGACGAACUACUGCGAAAGCAUUUGCCAAGGAUGUUUUCAUUGAUCAAGAACGAAAGUAAGGGGAUCGAAGACGCUUAGAUACCGUCGUAGUCUUUACCAUAAACUAUGCCAACUAGGGAUUGGAGGGCGUUCUUCAUUCGACUCCUUCAGCACCUUAUGAGAAAUCAAAGUUUUUGGGUUCCGGGGGGAGUAUGGUCGCAAGGCUGGAACUUAAA